UUUCAAUUUGUUCCUCCUCAGACUCCGUAGGAUCUUCCUUGGGAGAAGACCCAUGAGAACGAGGCUGUGACCAGCUGUCCCUGGUGGAAGCUUGUGGGGCUUCAGUGAGCGACUCGGAGUCGGAAGAGGAGUCCUCGGCAUCUCCAUACAUGGAGGAGAGAGAUGGCUCUGUACUGUCGCCCAGGCCUGACAGGGAGUUACUGUCUUCAUGAAAGCUGCUAAAAUUUCUAGAGUAGUUGCUCAGAAAGUUUUUGUUCACAGUAAAAUGUUUAUUGGGAUUAAUGGAAUCUAAAACUGAAGGCUGGGAGGCCCACAGUGGGGCUGUUGGGGAAGCAGUGGCCAAGGCCUUCCUGGGGGACGAUGUCUGGUCACCUGUGACUGGAAGGGCAUGCUGGGAACUGCCACCUCCAGCUCCUGCCUGCAGCAUAACCUGAGAAGUGCCUUGGUGACCCCUGCCUCCCCCUUUCUGAGAAGACUGAGGCCUCACUUCAGAAGCCUCUGGCUCCUUGAUGAAUCUGUCAAUGUCUGUCACCAGGCUCUCUCUGCUCCCCAGUGGGCAGCAGUGCCCAGAGACCCCAUCACACGUGUCGCUGGUCUUGUCAGUGGGCACUGGCAGGGAGGGGCUGGCCCGUGACACCCUUGCAGACACAGCAUCUGUGACCUCAAGCAGAGUGGCCUCCUGGGGGGUCUCAGGGGCUUGGUCUUCUGAGGAUUUGGAGCCCUUGCAGUGGGUGGCUGGAGUUCCUCGACUCUGCUCCCGGGAUAUGAGGUCUUGUGGCAGGAGGGCACUGGCUGGUGUUGCUUCCUCGGCCCCAGGUCCCACAACUCUGGGGGCAGCUGCCUUUCUGGUGGUGCCAUGGCAGCUGGCCAGAGUCUUGCUGAAGUCAGGAGGGGUCACUGCCUUCUCCCCUGGGGGUGUGCUGCACUCGUGGGGGACCAUCACAGCAGAUCUGCCCUGGGCCUCAGGCUCCAGGAGCCUGGGCAACACAGGCUGGCCAGCCUUCUCAGGCCUGCUGACUUGCCAUGCAUCCGUGGAGGUCUUGCUGAGAUCAGGAUGGGUGGCCUCCUUUCCUGGGGAAGGGAGCAGGGCCGGAGGGCUGUUUGGUCCUGUGUGGAGAACAAAAAGUGGAGUGGUAGAGAAGAUGAAGGGGCAAAGGGAGGAAAACAGAAGCCCUUGCAAUGAAAAGAGAACCAUAAACAAUCUCAGCCUUUUUUCUUUUUUUUUUAGGAGGACAUUCCACAGCCUACACGUGGGCCUUCUUGUCUGUCUGUUUUUGUCUCUCAAAUUACAGAGCGCUCACAUCCAGCAAACACCACACUGCUUCAGCCGCCCCAAAAUAACUCAGACGAGCUGGCAGGAUGAGCGUGUGAGCCUGCCCAUUUUUCUCUUUCUUGGUGAUUUCUGAGGACGGGGGACACCAGAAAUCCUUGGGUUUCUUUACACCAGCUGCUCUUUGACAGCAGAAGCUCAGGAGGAGUGGAGCAGUUGUUCUGUGCGAUGCCUGAGAUUUGGGGUGGACUCGGCAGAGCCUCGCAUCUCACCCAGUCCCAGCAUCUGGCCCAUCAGCCUCCAGGGCCAUUCCUUGGGACCUCUGCAGAACCCAGCAGGCUGGUUGCCUGGGAAGCAGCAUCCACCAUACCCUCUGGAACACUCUCCUCCAAGUACAACGAGCUGCCCAGGAGGGGCACUGAGGAGGCCUUGCUGACCUGUGUUUUCUGGCGUUGCUCCUCUUGCUUGUUGACAUCCGUGAUCUUGGGAGACGUCACCAAGGCAUGCCUAGAGUGGUCUUCUGUCAGAGGCCUGCUGGGACCUGGCAGGGAUCCUGGGAGGGAAACGCAGUCACCUUCUCUGCUGAACUCUUCCUCAUCGCUGCCAUCGUUGGCGUCGUAGCAGCCCACCCUUCUCUGGCGGAGCAGAGGGUUCCUGAGGACCUGUGGACUUCCAGGAAGACUGGCUUGUCUGGCAACUGUCACCUGCUUGUGGAAGAGCCCAGAGGUCCUCUGGCUUCCCAGAGACACAAGGCUGUUGGCCCUGGCUUUUCCUGGUUCCUUGUGAGCUGGAGGAGGCAGAGAGAAAAGUCAAAUGAAACCAAGUUCCUGAAUCUGGCCUGGUCUGAUAAUAGAAUCCCAUCACAACACAGGAGCAUUCGGCGGCAUUCACAACUGCAGACACUCAACCUCUGACCCCUGGACACCGUGCUUAAGUGACAUGACGUCUUAGGCUCUAUUCAGAGUGGAUGGCCAGCCUAUGGCUCCCCUUUUCCUUCUGGUAUCCCCCACCCUUUUAUCCCUAGCCCUCUGGAUAAUUUAACGUAGACUGUGUGCUGUCUGGAGACAGAGACUUGUAACUCUUUGAUUUCCAUGAUGUCUCACAGGUUGCUGGGGUCCAACCUAAAUGCUGCUGUGGAUAAUUCCUCUCUAGAAGGAAUUAUCCAAUGAUGUGUCCCCCAUACCUGGGCCUUUCCAUCACCUGAGGUCCCUCCAUCUGCCUCAUGGGGUAGCCAACCUUCCCCACCUGGGAAUGGAGUCUGCACUCAGCCCAUUUACUGUCCACUUGAGUGGCCCAUCAUUACAGUGGCUGCAUCUACCAAGAGUAAACUGUGUUUAGUCAGGGUGGAAAGAUGACCUCUGUUCAUCCAGAGGCAUGCUUUCCAGUUCUCCAUUCACAUUUUAGCACCAGGGAAGUUAAACCACCAUAGCCUCCAGUGGAGAGGUGCAAACUAGCACUUGGUUAUUGGAAUGCAGAGCCCAGGGCCCACUGGGGCUUCCUGCUUACUGGAGGAGCUGGGAGGCAGGCUGCCGUCCUCAGAGGCACUGCAGCUACUUCCUGGGUGAUCCUCAUCCUCAGAGCCGGCCACCAUGAAGUCUGACAAGGGGCCCUGGACAUCGUGGGCGAAGUACUGGGAGAAUUCAGAUUCAGAAAUAAGGGAGUCCUGUUGGAGAAGAAAAUGCUGGAUGUCUCCGCUUUCUCAGAAAAUGCACCAGAAGCAGAUUAUUUGAAACUAAUUACUUCCUAUCUUUGCAAGAACACUUUGUUCUAAUCCACGGUCAUUCAAAACAGCUGUGAUAGUAAACGCCCAUCUCCAUUUACUUUUCAGAAUGGCUAAAUUAACGAUUACAGAAUAAAAAGGUGACUGCUGUUGCCAGA